UAGCGCUAGUUCCCCAAGAUGGGCUUGAAAGCUCAGCGGGGAAAACGAGGAGAAGGUUGUCGAAACGUCAGCGGAUGCCUUCCGGCCGUCCCAGUCGAUACGGUCUGCUGAAAGAUGAGGAGUAAUCCUCAUGACAAAGGCAG
rnacentral:ncRNA from 1 species